AGUGAACGCUGGCGGUAGGCCUAACACAUGCAAGUCGAACGGCAGCACAGUAAGAGCUUGCCCUUACGGGUGGCGAGUGGCGGAUGGGUGAGGAAUACAUCGGAAUCUACUUUUUCGUGGGGGAUAACGUGGGGAAACUUACGCUAAUACCGCAUACGACCUACGGGUGGAAUCAGGGGAUCUUCGGGCCUUGCGCGAUUGAAUGAGCCGGUGUCGGAUUAGCUAGUUGGCGGGGUAAAGGCCCACCAAGGCGACGAUCCGUAGCUGGUCUGAGAGGAUGAUCAGCCACACUGGAACUGAGACACGGUCCAGACUCCUACGGGAGGCAGCAGUGGGGAAUAUUGGACAAUGGGCGCAAGCCUGAUCCAGCAAUACCGCGUGGGUGAAGAAGGCCUUCGGGUUGUAAAGCCCUUUUGUUGGGAAAGAAAAGCAGCAGGUUAAUACCCCGCUGUUCUGACGGUACCCAAAGAAUAAGCACCGGCUAACUUCGUG
rnacentral:rRNA from 1 species